AACGAACGCUGGCGGCAGGCCUAACACAUGCAAGUCGAGCGAGGACUUCGAUCCUAGCGGCGGACGGGUGAGAAACGCGUGGGAACGUGCCCUUUGCUUCGGAAUAGCCCUGGGAAACUGGGAGUAAUACCGGAUGAGCCCUUUGGGGGAAAGAUUUAUCGGCGAAGGAUCGGCCCGCGUUGGAUUAGGUAGUUGGUGGGGUAAUGGCCUACCAAGCCGACGAUCCAUAGCUGGUUUGAGAGGAUGAUCAGCCACACUGGGACUGAGACACGGCCCAGACUCCUACGGGAGGCAGCAGUGGGGAAUCUUAGACAAUGGGGGAAACCCUGAUCUAGCCAUGCCGCGUGAGCGAUGAAGGCCUUAGGGUUGUAAAGCUCUUUCAGCUGGGAAGAUAAUGACGGUACCAGCAGAAGAAGCCCCGGCUAACUCCGUG
rnacentral:rRNA from 1 species